UACGUAGGGGGCAAGCGUUGUCCGGAUUUAUUGGGCGUAAAGAGCGUGUAGGCGGCCUUACAGGUCAGCUGUGAAAACUCGAGGCUCAACCUCGAGACGUCGGUUGAAACCGUAUGGCUAGAGUCCGGAAGAGGAGAAUGGAAUUCCCGGUGUAGCGGUGAAAUGCGCAGAUAUCGGGAAGAACACCCGUGGCGAAGGCGGUUCUCUGGGACGGUACUGACGCUGAGACGCGAAAGCGUGGGGAGCGAACAGG
rnacentral:rRNA from 1 species